AGCGAACGCUGGCGGCAGGCCUAACACAUGCAAGUCGAACGGAUCCUUCGGGAUUAGUGGCGGACGGGUUAGUAACACGUGGGAACGUUCCCUUUGGUUCGGAACAACUCAGGGAAACUUGAGCUAAUACCGGAUGUGCCCUUCGGGGGAAAGAUUUAUCGCCAUUGGAGCGGCCCGCGUCUGAUUAGCUAGUUGGUGAGGUAACGGCCCACCAAGGCGACGAUCAGUAGCUGGUCUGAGAGGAUGAUCAGCCACACUGGGACUGAGACACGGCCCAGACUCUUACGGGAAGCAGAAGUGGGGAAUCUUGCGCAAUGGGCGAGAGACUGACGCAGCCAGGCCGCGUGAAUGAUGAAGGUCUUAGGAUUGUAAAAUUCUUUCAGCGGGGACGAUAAUGACGGUACCCGCAGAAGAAGCGCCGGCUAACUUCGUG
rnacentral:rRNA from 1 species